AACGAACGCUGGCGGCAGGCUUAACACAUGCAAGUCGAGCGCCCCGCAAGGGGAGCGGCAGGCGGGUGAGUAACGCGUGGGAAUCUACCCAUCUCUACGGAAUAACGCAUGGAAACGUGUGCUAAUACCGUAUACGUCCUUCGGGAGAAAGAUUUAUCGGAGAUGGAUGAGCCCGCGUUGGAUUAGCUAGUUGGUGGGGUAAAGGCCUACCAAGGCGACGAUCCAUAGCUGGUCUGAGAGGAUGAUCAGCCACACUGGGACUGAGACACGGCCCAAACUCCUACGGGAGGAAGCAGUGGGGAAUAUUGGACAAUGGGCGCAAGCCUGAUCCAGCCAUGCCGCGUGAGUGGUGAAGGCCCUAGGGUUGUAAAGCUCUUUCACCGGUGAAGAUAAUGACGGUAACCGGAGAAGAAGCCCCGGCUAACUUCGUGCCAGCCGCCGCCGUAACAC
rnacentral:rRNA from 1 species